UAUGAUGUCAAUUUGUGUCAUUUUCUAUCCAUAUUUAUCUUUUCUAAACUAAAUUUAUUUUUUUAAGAAAAAAUAUGAUCUUUAAACCAAAAAAUAAAACUACGAUUAUGUUCUUUUGUUGGCCAAUUUGUUAGUGUUUAACCUCUUUAAGAAUUUUCAUGGGCUUUUAAAGAUACGACUCAUUGUUAUCAGUGUUGUGAAAACAUAAAAAUGUGCUUGACUCCUAUGAAUGUUUGAUACAGUCAAC
rnacentral:lncRNA from 1 species